rnacentral:rRNA from 1 species
GAUGAACGCUGGCGGCGUGCCUAAUACAUGCAAGUCGAGCGAACAGACGAGGAGCUUGCUCCUCUGACGUUAGCGGCGGACGGGUGAGUAACACGUGGAUAACCUACCUAUAAGACUGGGAUAACUUCGGGAAACCGGAGCUAAUACCGGAUAAUAUAUUGAACCGCAUGGUUCAAUAGUGAAAGACGGUUUUGCUGUCACUUAUAGAUGGAUCCGCGCCGCAUUAGCUAGUUGGUAAGGUAACGGCUUACCAAGGCAACGAUGCGUAGCCGACCUGAGAGGGUGAGCGGCCACACUGGAACUGAGACACGGUCCAGACCCCUACGGGAGGCAGCAGUAGGGAAUCUUCAGCAAGGGGCGAAGGCCUGACGGAGCAACGCCGCGGGAGUGAUGAAGGUCUUCGGAUCGUAAAACUGUGUUAUUAGGGAAAAACAAAUGUGUAAGUAACUAUGCACGUCUUGACGGUACCUAAUCAGAAAGCCACGGCUAACUCCGUG